UUUUCUUUUGUCAUAGUUAUCUUAGUAUUUUUCUAACAGAUAGAGAAUAAAAUGUUCCAUUGCUUGCAUGGAUUGAAGCGGAUAAUCUAAAGAUUUCAUAGGUUAUCCUGCCUGAGGUAUUAGAAAUAUUCACAUGCUACUUACCUCGGUCUAACAUCAAACCAUGGAAGCAAGGUUUCAAAUUUGUCAAGAACCGGGACCUGAUUAUAUGGUUGUUGUAUACAGUUUAUUGCUUGCUUUUUUAUUGAUACAAGCUUUGGAAACAGGAGCUAUUUAAGCACUAGCUCCAAGAUCCCUAACUAAAUGAUUCUAACUUUUAAGACUUUCUAAACUCUGGAUGGAUGCACAUCCAUAGACUUUUCACUCUACUUGGCUCUCUCACUGAGAUAGAGCAUCCAAAAAAACAAAAAAUAUAGAGCAUACAACAUCGCCCUGUGGUUUGAUAUUAUGUCAGCUGCUUGAUGCCAGAGACUAUAGGUUGAGUGUUAAUUGAUUAUCGAUACAUAUCAUAUUUUCUAAUAUCUUGUAACAGGAGUCUUUAAUAUGUCUUGAAUGUCCUAAUGCCCUGGUUGGUCAAAAUUAACCAUAGGAACUUCGAAACUACAUCCUACCUGGAAAAAUAUAUUUCCACUUUGAAGUGUUGGCUAUACACAUAUGCCUACCUGUAGGACUACUCGUCUAUGACAGUAUAAGGGUAUGGAUGUCAAAAUACAUGGCCAGUGAUCUCAUUAUAACACUCCACUAGUGAGGAUGUCUGAUCCUCCAAUAAAAUAAACAUAAACAUGAUAAUAAAAAAAACAAUUUAUUGCAUACUUUAGUAAAGGCAUUAUGAAAGCAGCAAUGGAAGACUUUACAAAGUAAAUGUUGUUAUGCUGGUUGAAUUUCAAAUUCAUCAUGCAAAAUUUAUGUUUGUUUUAAAGUGUAUGUGUACCAUACUGUGCUAAAAUAAAGGCUCUGCUUUGGGAAGGGUGUGUCAGCAUGUGUUCCAUCAUGCUUAACUUGUACCAGUUAGCAUUGGACCCAUGUUGCACUGUGCUGGUUGGCAUCCAAAAAGAAAUAAUUGGUUUUGAAGUCAUGCUUGACACCAUUGCUGGACGAGAAAGAAAAUGCAGUGGUUGCUAGAUUUAACUGCCAAUACACUGUUGAAUAAUUCAGUUCAAUGAUAAUCCAUCCAAGGAUUGCCUUUUCGGGCAUAUGAACCGUUUCAGCAAUCUAUCGGACUGGUAUGUAUUGGUUUGUAUCGAUGUACUGACACAUGGUACGCCAGUAUGUGUCAGUGUAGAGGGAGAAGAGGAAGGGGUGGUAGAGAAAGGAAAAAGGAAGCAGUGGAGGAAGAGGAAGAAGAAGAAAGAAGAGGAGGAGAAGAGCAGCAGUAGCAGCGAGCAACACUAGUGUCGAAGCGGUAGUGGCAACAGUGAGGAAGCAUUGAAGCAGCAGCGGCAGCAGCAAGGAGUGUCGAAGCGGUGGUGAUGAGGCAGUGACAUCUUAUGCGAAAAGAGGGCUCGUGUAUAGGCAGACAUCUUAUGCAAGAACAGGGCUCACGUUCGUGAGCCCCUUUUAUUUCCUUUUUUAAUACUGAGUUGGAUAGGUCCCCAACACUUUCUUGAAUCUUUUAUUAUUGUAAUUGGACCACCCGAAACGGAGGUGGUCUGUGUAUCGGUCCAUGCCUGGACCGAUACGUAUCACCUGUACUGUACCAUUUCGGGUGGUACAAUAGUCCUUGACUCUAUCCAAUAAAAUGAAGUAUCUUGGAUCA